rnacentral:misc_RNA from 1 species
GAUGAAGAACGUAGCGAAAUGCGAUAAGUAAUGUGAAUUGCAGAACUCAGUGAAUCAUCGAAUCUUUGAACGCACAUUGCGCCCGCCAGCAUUCUGGCGGGCAUGCCUGUUCGAGCGUCAUUUCAACCCUCGAGCCCCCCCGGGGGCCUCGGUGUUGGGGGACGGCACACCAGCCGCCCCCGAAAUGCAGUGGCGACCCCGCCGCAGCCUCCCCUGCGUAGUAGCACACACCUCGCACCGGAGCGCGGAGGCGGUCACGCCGUAAAACGCCCAACUUUCUUAGAGUUGACCUCGGAUCAGGUAGGAAUACCCGCUGAACUUAAGCAUAUCAAUAAGCGGAGGA